AAGCAGUUGGUAUCAACUGAAAGCAAAUUGGCAAUAGAGAAAGCGAGAAAAGAUAACAAAGAUUUCAAUUCAAUUUUGGUCAAAUGUACUUUCUUUGAAAUGUCUGCCUUGCAGAAGUAAUGGAUUACAAUAUAAUAACCGCACAUCAAAAAUUGCAGAUUUACUGGACUUAAGGAGAACAAUGUAAUGUUAUAAAGUAGCAAUGGACUCUAUUUGUAUUAUAGAUAUGAUAUUAAAUAUUUUCCUGUUAUUUGUAGUACUAAUAAAAAUAUUAUUAUAGAUACAACAUACAUGAUAAACACACCCAUCUAAAUUCGUAUCUUCAAAUUUUUUUCCAAACUUCUUGCAUAAUAAUAUAAAGUUUGUGUGUUUAAUGUGUUUGACUAUUUGUCCA